rnacentral:rRNA from 1 species
AUCCCUUGACAUCCAGAGAAUCUUUCAGAGAUGAGAGAGUGCCUUCGGGAACUCUGAGACAGGUGCUGCAUGGCUGUCGUCAGCUCGUGUUGUGAGAUGUUGGGUUAAGUCCCGCAACGAGCGCAACCCUUAUCCUUAGUUGCCAGCACGUAAUGGUGGGAACUCUAGGGAGACUGCCGGUGAUAAACCGGAGGAAGGUGGGGACGACGUCAAGUCAUCAUGGCCCUUACGGGAUGGGCUACACACGUGCUACAAUGGCGCACACAAAGGGCAGCUAACUAGCGAUAGUAUGCGAAUCUCAAAAAGUGCGUCGUAGUCCGGAUCGGAGUCUGCAACUCGACUCCGUGAAGUAGGAAUCGCUAGUAAUCGUGGAUCAGAAUGCCACGGUGAAUACGUUCCCGGGCC